AUUGAACGCUGGCGGCAUGCUUUACACAUGCAAGUCGAACGGUAACAGGUCUUCGGAUGCUGACGAGUGGCGCACGGGUGAGUAAUACAUCGGAACGUGCCUAGUAGUGGGGGAUAACUACUCGAAAGAGUAGCUAAUACCGCAUGAGAUCUACGGAUGAAAGCAGGGGACCUUCGGGCCUUGUGCUACUAGAGCGGCUGAUGGCAGAUUAGGUAGUUGGUGGGGUAAAGGCUUACCAAGCCUGCGAUCUGUAGCUGGUCUGAGAGGACGACCAGCCACACUGGGACUGAGACACGGCCCAGACUCCUACGGGAGGCAGCAGUGGGGAAUUUUGGACAAUGGGCGAAAGCCUGAUCCAGCAAUGCCGCGUGCAGGAUGAAGGCCCUCGGGUUGUAAACUGCUUUUGUACGGAACGAAAAGCCUGGGGCUAAUAUCCCCGGGUCAUGACGGUACCGUAAGAAUAAGCACCGGCUAACUACGUG
rnacentral:rRNA from 1 species